UGAAGUUCUUAGGGAGAGUGG
rnacentral:miRNA from 1 species